UACAGAGGGGGCGAGCGUUGUUCGGAAUUACUGGGCGUAAAGGGCGCGUAGGCGGCCCGCUAAGUCGAACGUGAAAUCCCCAGGCUCAACCUGGGAACUGCCUGCCAGACUGUGAGGCUUGAGACCGGGAGAGGUGAGUGGAAUUCCCAGUGUAGCGGUGAAAUGCGUAGAUAUUGGGAGGAACACCAGUGGCGAAGGCGGCUCACUGGACCGGAACUGACGCUGAGGCGCGAAAGCGUGGGGAGCAAACAGG
rnacentral:rRNA from 1 species